rnacentral:lncRNA from 1 species
AGGGACUCAUUUUCCCCCAGGAUAAGGUUCCUUUGAGGCCAUGUCUGGGACUCCCUUCAGAUCCUGCUUUAGGUCUAACUACAGAGAGAAGUUGAACUUGCUUUUAGAGAAAGAUGCUUCCUUUUCAUUUUACUCAGAACUUCCCAAGACCCCAUCUAACAAGAUCCUUAUUGAUUCUGGAAACCUCAGUUCUUUGACAGGUUCAUUACAUCUCUGUCAAGAGAGAAACUCCAAAGUGUUGCCUUGACUUGUCAAAUGUU